GGCAGAGCGCGUGUGGCGGCCGAGCACAUGGGCCCGCGGGCCGGGCGGGCUCGGGGCGGCCGGGACGAGGAGGGGCGACGACGAGCUGCGAGCAAAGAUGUGCCCCGGGACCCCCGGCACCUUCCAGUGGAUUUCCUUGCGGAAAGGAUGUUGGCGGUCCCUGUGACCUGUGGAGACACGGCCAGAUCUGCCCUCCAGAUUUAUUAGGAGAAAAACCUUCCCGGAAGCUGCAGAAGGACAAAUACAGAAUCCGUGUCUGGGAGAAACCUCGUGGCCUGGUCUCCAUUAUUUGAGAUGAGUUACAUCUUGGAGGUGAGGACGUGCCUCGUGGUCUAAAGCUUCGGCACAAGGGCCCAACUGGAAUUCCACUUACGGGCCUGAUCUUUUGGCCAGAAGGAGAUUAAAAAGAUGCCCCUCAAGAUGGCUGUGCCUGUCAGCUGCAUGGAGCUUCGUUCAAGUAUUUUCUGAGCCUGAUGGAUUUACAGUGAUCUUCAGUGGUCUGGGGAAUAACGCUGGUGGAACCAUGCACUGGAAUGACACACGCCCGGCACAUUUCAGGAUACUAAAAGUGGUUUUAAGGGAGGCUGUGGCUGAAUGCCUCAUGGAUUCUUACAGCUUGGAUGUCCAUGGGGGACGAAGGACUGCAGCUGGCUGAGAGGGUUGAGAUCUCUGUUUACUUAGAUCUCUGCCAACUUCCUUUGGGUCUCCCUAUGGAAUGUAAGACCCCGACUCUUCCUGGUGAAGCAUCUGAUGCACGUUCCAUCCGGCGCUCAGCUGGGCUUGAGCUGACCAUACUCCCUGGAGCCUUCUCCCGAGGUGCGCGGGUGACCUUGGCACAUACAGCCAUCAUGAUGGUACUUUAAGUGGAGGCUGAAUCAUCUCCCCUUUGAGCUGCUUGGCACGUGGCUCCCUUGGUGUUCCCCUUUUACUGCCAGGACACUGAGAUUUGGAGAGAAUCCUGUUACACCUGGGAUUUAGGCACUUUCAAUCUGAAAAAAUACAUAUCCUUUCAGCACUCUGGACGGACUUGAGAACUGUCCUUACGUGACCUAAAGCUGGAGUAUUUUGAGAUUGGAGAAUUAAGAGUGUGGGCACCCUGGCUUCAAGCUCACGAGAAACCAGGUCGGGAUUUAAACAAUGUUGGGUUAAAGCAAAGUUUCAUAAAGACAGAAUCAAGAAAAAAAGAAAGAGAAA
rnacentral:lncRNA from 1 species